CAGCCGCCGCGGUAAUACGUAGGGUGCGAGCGUUAAUCGGAAUUACUGGGCGUAAAGCGUGCGCAGGCGGUUGCGCAAGACAGAUGUGAAAUCCCCGAGCUUAACUUGGGAACUGCAUUUGUGACUGCACGGCUAGAGUGUGUCAGAGGGGGGUAGAAUUCCACGUGUAGCAGUGAAAUGCGUAGAUAUGUGGAGGAAUACCGAUGGCGAAGGCAGCCCCCUGGGAUAACACUGACGCUCAUGCACGAAAGCGUGGGGAGCAAACAGGAUUAGAUACCCCUGUAGUCCCUGUCUCUUAUAC
rnacentral:rRNA from 1 species